GAAAGAAAGAAAGAAACAAAGAAGCAAAGAAAGGAAGAAAGAAAGAGAAGAGUGAAUGACGGCGUCCAUGUUUGCAGCUGCAGUUGCUUCCAGAUGAAUAAUUGAAGCGCCGUCAGCCCAGGAGGCGCAGGUUGACACUUUUUAUGGCGACGCCUGAAGGGCCUCAUCAUCGGAGAGUGAAACUGCUCCCAGGACUCUGACCUCCAUCUUGUUUGCAGAAAUCCCUCCAGAGCAGCUGGCCGACGGCGGCCUCAUCUGGAACCGCCAUCAGUCGCUUGUUAAACGCCGAGUGCGAGUCGGGUGGGAAUGUGGCAGCAUGCGGUCCCAGCCAAUCCAUAACCAGACACCAGGAACGGAGCACCAGCAUCGCAUCAGGCACCAGUUUUUUUUUAAUUUUUUUAAAGUUUGUGUGGGUGUUUGUGGUCGAUAUAGAAUCUGUACUUCCUCCUCUUUCUCUCAGUCCUGUCUAUGUAAUUGAUCCCAGACUGGACAUUUGAGUUGCCAGCAGCCGUUCAUAUCAUUUUUAUCUUUUAGACAAGCCCUCUACUGCUUCCAGAUGGGGAAAGCACUCCGGGUUCAGGCUUGUUUUUGAAAAAAAUCUAAUGCUUUAAUGUCUUUACCUUGCAAAUGGAGAAACCAACAUGAGUGAAACACAGAUGUGGGUUGCUUUGUGAAGCCUUGAUGCCGACCUGUGGAUCGUUUAUCUUAGAUGCUUAUGUUUAUCUUUGUAAGUGUUUGUUUCUGCGGCCACUGUAAGUGUGAAUGGAUGUUUUGUACACUGCUGACAGUGGCUGUGGUUCAACUCUGUGGAAAACAGCUUGUGCAACAUCCCAGAGUGCCUUCAUGUCAUUCAUUUGUGAUGAUUUGCUUUUAUUCUAUUUCUACACCGAUCUGUGCAAAAUCUGCCAUCACCUGGAAGGAAUAGCUAAGACAAACAUAAUCAUUUUAAGUUUAAGUUUGCUUUUCUCUUGGCAAAAAUCAAAUUUAAAACAUUUGUUUUUGAGUAAUUUGAUGAAAAAAGAACUAUGACAGAACAUUUUCCUCUAAAAUCAAUGCUAUUGAAACAGCUAGCUUACAUUUAACCUCAAAACAGUAAAACCUUUAAUAAUAAAACAUUUUAACGUCAAAUCACCCUAGAUGCUUAUGUUUUAAUCUCCUCCAUUAUAAUGUUAUGAUACAACAAUGCAGUAUUGUUUUUAGCCUUUUGUCACUAGUUGUGCUAGCAGUAGCUUCUAGUAGCAUUAGCUUACCCUGAACUGUAAUAAAAUGUUUUAAAAGCUUCACGUGACACACUGAACCUGAUCCUAUUCA